UACGGGGGGAGCAAGCGUUGUUCGGAUUUACUGGGCGUAAAGGGCGCGUAGGCGGCCAGCACAAGUCAGUUGUGAAAUCUCCGAGCUUAACUCGGAAAGGUCAACUGAUACUGUGCGGCUAGAGUCGCAGAAGGGGGCAACUGGAAUUCUUGGUGUAGCGGUGAAAUGCGUAGAUAUCAAGAGGAACACCUGCGGCGAAGGCGGGUUGCUGGGCUGACACUGACGCUGAGGCGCGAAAGCUAGGGGAGCGAACGGG
rnacentral:rRNA from 1 species